ACGUAGGGGGCAAGCGUUAUCCGGAUUUACUGGGUGUAAAGGGAGCGCAGACGGCUCUGCAAGUCUGAAGUGAAAGCCCGCGGCUUAACCGCGGGACUGCUUUGGAAACUGCAAGGCUUGAGUAUCGGAGGGGCAGGCGGAAUUCCUAGUGUAGCGGUGAAAUGCGUAGAUAUUAGGAAGAACACCGGUGGCGAAGGCGGCCUGCUGGACGAAAACUGACGUUGAGGCUCGAAGGCGUGGGGAGCAAACAG
rnacentral:rRNA from 1 species